UCUUCAUUUCACGCACUCUCUCUCGCCGGUCAGAGAGGCGAGAGAGUGUGUGCGAAAUGAAGAGA
rnacentral:pre_miRNA from 1 species